GCCGGCGUAGCUCAGGGGUAGAGCAACUGAUUCGUAAUCAGUAGGUCCACAGUUCGAUUCUGUGCGCCGGCACCA
rnacentral:tRNA from 2 species